UCGCCUUGGUGAUCUAGAUUAUUAACGGC
rnacentral:sRNA from 1 species